rnacentral:tRNA from 1 species
GUUAACUUAGUAUAAUAAAGUACACUUACCUUCCAAGUAAGUAGUCUAGACUUAGAGUUGAGG